rnacentral:rRNA from 1 species
AGUCGAACGGAGCUUUUCGGAGCUUGCUUUGAAAAGCUUAGUGGCGAACGGGUGAGUAACGCGUGAGUAACCUGCCCUCGAGUGGGGGACAACAGUUGGAAACGACUGCUAAUACCGCAUAAGACCACGGAGCCGCAUGGCUCAGAGGUAAAAGGAUUUAUUCGCUUGAGGAUGGACUCGCGUCCAAUUAGCUAGUUGGUGAGGUAACGGCCCACCAAGGCGACGAUUGGUAGCCGGACUGAGAGGUUGAUCGGCCACAUUGGGACUGAGACACGGCCCAGACUCCUACGGGAGGCAGCAGUGGGGGAUAUUGCACAAUGGGGGAAACCCUGAUGCAGCGACGCCGCGUGAAGGAAGAAGGCCUUCGGGUUGUAAACUUCUGUCGUACGGGACGAUAAUGACGGUACCGUACAAGAAAGCCACGGCUAACUACGUGCCAGCAGCCGCGGUAAAACGUAGGUGGCAAGCGUUGUCCGGAAUUACUGGGUGUAAAGGGAGCGCAGGCGGACUAGCAAGUUGGAAGUGAAAUCUAUGGGCUCAACCCAUAAAUUGCUUUCAAAACUGCCGGUCUUGAGUAGUGCAGAGGUAGGCGGAAUUCCCGGUGUAGCGGUGGAAUGCGUAGAUAUCGGGAGGAA